rnacentral:rRNA from 1 species
UACGGGGGGUGCGAGCGUUGUCCGGAAUCACUGGGCGUAAAGGGCGCGUAGGUGGUUUGAUAAGGGUGUGGUGAAAGUCCGGGGCUCAACUCCGGAUCUGCCGUGCCGACUGUCAAACUCGAGGGCUGUAGAGGCAGACGGAAUUCCGGGUGUAGCGGUGGAAUGCGUAGAGAUCCGGAGGAGGACCGGUGGCGAAGGCGGUCUGCUGGGCAGUUUCUGACACUGAGGCGCGACAGCGUGGGGAGCAAACAGG